rnacentral:rRNA from 1 species
AGCGUACACGGUGGAUGCCCUGGCAGUCAGAGGCGAUGAAGGACGUGCUAAUCUGCGAUAAGCGUCGGUAAGGUGAUAUGAACCGUUAUAACCGGCGAUUUCCGAAUGGGGAAACCCAGUGUGAUUCGUCACACUAUCAUUAACUGAAUCCAUAGGUUAAUGAGGCGAACCGGGGGAACUGAAACAUCUAAGUACCCCGAGGAAAAGAAAUCAACCGAGAUUCCCCCAGUAGCGGCGAGCGAACGGGGAGCAGCCCAGAGCCUGAAUCAGUGUGUGUGUUAGUGGAAGCGUCUGGAAAGGCGCGCGAUACAGGGUGACAGCCCCGUACACAAAAAUGCACAUACUGUGAGCUCGAUGAGUAGGGCGGGACACGUGGUAUCCUGUCUGAAUAUGGGGGGACCAUCCUCCAAGGCUAAAUACUCCUGACUGACCGAUAGUGAACCAGUACCGUGAGGGAAAGGCGAAAAGAACCCCGGCGAGGGGAGUGAAAAAGAACCUGAAACCGUGUACGUACAAGCAGUGGGAGCACAGAGCAAUCUGUGUGACUGCGUACCUUUUGUAUAAUGGGUCAGCGACUUAUAUUCUGUAGCAAGGUUAACCGAAUAGGGGAGCCGAAGGGAAACCGAGUCUUAACUGGGCGUUAAGUUGCAGGGUAUAGACCCGAAACCCGGUGAUCUAGCCAUGGGCAGGUUGAAGGUUGGGUAACACUAACUGGAGGACCGAACCGACUAAUGUUGAAAAAUUAGCGGAUGACUUGUGGCUGGGGGUGAAAGGCCAAUCAAACCGGGAGAUAGCUGGUUCUCCCCGAAAGCUAUUUAGGUAGCGCCUCGUGAAUUCAUCUCCGGGGGUAGAGCACUGUUUCGGCAAGGGGGUCAUCCCGACUUACCAACCCGAUGCAAACUGCGAAUACCGGAGAAUGUUAUCACGGGAGACACACGGCGGGUGCUAACGUCCGUCGUGAAGAGGGAAACAACCCAGACCGCCAGCUAAGGUCCCAAAGUCAUGGUUAAGUGGGAAACGAUGUGGGAAGGCCCAGACAGCCAGGAUGUUGGCUUAGAAGCAGCCAUCAUUUAAAGAAAGCGUAAUAGCUCACUGGUCGAGUCGGCCUGCGCGGAAGAUGUAACGGGGCUAAACCAUGCACCGAAGCUGCGGCAGCGACGCUUAUGCGUUGUUGGGUAGGGGAGCGUUCUGUAAGCCUGCGAAGGUGUGCUGUGAGGCAUGCUGGAGGUAUCAGAAGUGCGAAUGCUGACAUAAGUAACGAUAAAGCGGGUGAAAAGCCCGCUCGCCGGAAGACCAAGGGUUCCUGUCCAACGUUAAUCGGGGCAGGGUGAGUCGACCCCUAAGGCGAGGCCGAAAGGCGUAGUCGAUGGGAAACAGGUUAAUAUUCCUGUACUUGGUGUUACUGCGAAGGGGGGACGGAGAAGGCUAUGUUGGCCGGGCGACGGUUGUCCCGGUUUAAGCGUGUAGGCUGGUUUUCCAGGCAAAUCCGGAAAAUCAAGGCUGAGGCGUGAUGACGAGGCACUACGGUGCUGAAGCAACAAAUGCCCUGCUUCCAGGAAAAGCCUCUAAGCAUCAGGUAACAUCAAAUCGUACCCCAAACCGACACAGGUGGUCAGGUAGAGAAUACCAAGGCGCUUGAGAGAACUCGGGUGAAGGAACUAGGCAAAAUGGUGCCGUAACUUCGGGAGAAGGCACGCUGAUAUGUAGGUGAAGUCCCUCGCGGAUGGAGCUGAAAUCAGUCGAAGAUACCAGCUGGCUGCAACUGUUUAUUAAAAACACAGCACUGUGCAAACACGAAAGUGGACGUAUACGGUGUGACGCCUGCCCGGUGCCGGAAGGUUAAUUGAUGGGGUUAGCGCAAGCGAAGCUCUUGAUCGAAGCCCCGGUAAACGGCGGCCGUAACUAUAACGGUCCUAAGGUAGCGAAAUUCCUUGUCGGGUAAGUUCCGACCUGCACGAAUGGCGUAAUGAUGGCCAGGCUGUCUCCACCCGAGACUCAGUGAAAUUGAACUCGCUGUGAAGAUGCAGUGUACCCGCGGCAAGACGGAAAGACCCCGUGAACCUUUACUAUAGCUUGACACUGAACAUUGAGCCUUGAUGUGUAGGAUAGGUGGGAGGCUUUGAAGUGUGGACGCCAGUCUGCAUGGAGCCGACCUUGAAAUACCACCCUUUAAUGUUUGAUGUUCUAACGUUGACCCGUAAUCCGGGUUGCGGACAGUGUCUGGUGGGUAGUUUGACUGGGGCGGUCUCCUCCUAAAGAGUAACGGAGGAGCACGA